rnacentral:misc_RNA from 1 species
UACAGAGGGGGCGAGCGUUAUCCGGAUUUAUUGGGCGUAAAGCGUGCGUAGGCGGCUUUUUAAGUCGGAUGUGAAAUCCCCGGGCUUAACUUGGGAAUUGCAUUCGAUACUGGGAAGCUAGAGUAUGGGAGAGGAGGGUAGAAUUCCAGGUGUAGCGGUGAAAUGCGUAGAGAUCUGGAGGAAUACCGGUGGCGAAGGCAGCCAUCUGGCCUAAUACUGACGCUGAGGUGCGAAAGCAUGGGGAGCAAACAGG